rnacentral:rRNA from 1 species
GUGGGGAAUAUUGGACAAUGGGCGCAAGCCUGAUCCAGCCAUGCCGCGUGUGUGAAGAAGGUCUUCGGAUUGUAAAGCACUUUAAGUUGGGAGGAAGGGCAGUAAGUUAAUACCUUGCUGUUUUGACGUUACCGACAGAAUAAGCACCGGCUAACUUCGUGCCAGCAGCCGCGGUAAUACGAAGGGUGCAAGCGUUAAUCGGAAUUACUGGGCGUAAAGCGCGCGUAGGUGGUUUUGUAAGUUGGAGGUGAAAUCCCCGGGCUCAACCUGGGAACUGCCUCCAAAACUGCAUGACUAGAGUACGGUAGAGGGUAGUGGAAUUUCCUGUGUAGCGGUGAAAUGCGUAGAUAUAGGAAGGAACACCAGUGGCGAAGGCGACUACCUGGACUGAUACUGACACUGAGGUGCGAAAGCGUGGGGAGCAAACAGGAUUAGAAACCCCAGUAGUCC